GCUAAUAUUCAAUAAUUGUUUGUAUUAAUAUCCAAAUUAAAAAUAUUUAUUAUGUUUGAGUAUUUUAUUGAAAUAAUUUAAUAUUAUAACUGAAAAGGUAUAUUAGUAAGUUCAAUAAAGUAUAAUUUAAUUUGUACCUUUUGUAUCAGGGUGGAUUAAUUAUAAUCAUAAAUAUGUUUUUCCCGAAAGAAAAUGACUUAAAUUAUAUUGUUAGUUAUUGUUAUAUAAAUAUUAAUAAAUAUAGUUUGGAAAUGAAAUUUUACCGAAUUUUCUGAUAUCUGGUUUCUUAAAAAAUAAAUUUAAUUUAGGAAUAAUUUUAAUUAUUCAGUGAUUAUAAUGAGUUAUUCUAGUUAUGGGGGGGAUAAGCUUUCCAUAUUAUUAUAAAUUGAAUCUUAAAUAAUAUAAUAUAAUAGGCUUGAAACCAGCCAUUUAUGAUUUAGUUAAAUUUCAUUAUUUGUUAUAUGUUAUUUAUUUAAUUUUAGUUUAAUAUUAAGAAAUGAAUUUUAAUUAAUUAUUUUAGUUAAAAUGAUUUAAUUAGUAAAUAUAAUAAAAAUAAUAUUUAUGAACUCGGCAAUAACAAUUUUCCACCUGUUUAUCAAAAACAUGUCUUUUAGAAACUUCUUAAAAGUCUAGUCUGCCCAAUGAUUAUUGAAUGGCCGCGGUAAUCUGACCGUGCAAAGGUAGCAUAAUAAUUAGUCUUUUAAUUGAAGGCUUGUAUGAACGAUUGGAUGAGAAAUUAUCUUUAUUAAUAUUAAAUAUUGAAUUUAAUCUUUAAGUUAAAAAGCUUAAAUAAUUAUGUGGGACGAGAAGACCCUAUAGAGUUUAAAAAAAAUAUAAAAUUUAUUGAUUUUGGAUAUUUAUUAAAUAUAUUAUUAUAUUUUUUUAUAUUGGGGUGAUAUUGAAACAUAAUAAGCUUUCAAUUAAUCAAUCAUUAAUUAAUGUUUAUAUGAUCCUAUUAUUUGGAAUAAAAGUUCAAAUUACCUUAGGGAUAACAGCGUAAUUAAAUUGUAGAGUUCAAAUCGAUAAUUUAGUUUGCGACCUCGAUGUUGGAUUAAGGAAAGUAUUUGGGGCAAGUUUCAAUUAGUCUAGGUCUGUUCGACCUUUAAAUCCUUACAUGAUCUGAGUUCAGACCGGCGUGAGCCAGGUUGGUUUCUAUCUACAUUUAAUUUUUUAAUAUUAGUACGAAAGGACCAUAUUAAAUAAUUUUUAUUAU
rnacentral:rRNA from 1 species